GUGUGAAUUGGCAGAAUUCAGUGAAUCAUCGAAUCUUUGAACGACACAUGUGCGACCCGCUGGUAUGUCCGGCGGGCAUGCCUGUUCGAGCGUCAUUGCACCUCUCAAGCUUGGCUUGGUAUUGGGCCUCCGUCCUCCGCGGGCGGGCCUGAAAAUCAGUGGCAGUGUAGCCGGUGCUCAAGCGUAGUAAUGUAAACACCCUCGCUUUGGAGUCCCCGGCUGGACCCGCCAGACAAACCCCAUUCAUUUCAAUGGUUGACCUCGGAUCAGGUAGGGAUACCCGCUGAACUUAAGCAUAUCAAUAAGCGGAGGAAAAGAAACCAACAGGGAUUGCCUCAGUAACGGCGAGUGAAGCGGCAACAGCUCAAAUUUGAAAUCUGGCUUCCGGGCCCGAGUUGUAAUUUGCAGAGGGAGUUUCGGAGGCGGCACCGGCCUAAGUUCCUUGGAACGGGGCGUCAUAGAGGGUGAGAAUCCCGUACGUGGCCGGUGGUCAAUUCCAUGUGAAACCCUUUCGACGAGUCGAGUUGUUUGGGAAUGCAGCUCAAAAUGGGUGGUAAAUUUCAUCUAAAGCUAAAUACCGGCCAGAGACCGAUAGCGCACAAGUAGAGUGAUCGAAAGAUGAAAAGCACUUUGGAAAGAGAGUUAUUAAGUACGUGAAAUNGUUGAAAGGGAGCCCUGAGGAAAAGGAACAAAGGACAAAUUUCGGGGAUUCUCCCCCCCUUUUUACCCCCCCUUU
rnacentral:rRNA from 1 species